AACCGAAUGUAGGUGCUAACCAAGUGGAUGAAUCGACGAUGUAGCCGAUGACGACCAAAAACUGUUAGCAGGGAAGAAUCAUGCAUCGUAGUUCGAGGUGUCAAAAAUGUGCUGCCGGUUGCUAGAACGAACGGGACCAGGAACAGACAGCGUUUAGAGAUGAACAAACCUAAGCAGCUUAUCGUAGUUGAACAAUGUUGCAUUGAGCCACUGACCGGCUCGAAAAGAAAUCGAUCUCAUCGAUUCGAAUAUCGGCGCUAAUCCGAUUAGUCGCAUUGUAUCAACAAACAAAUCACGAACCGUCAGAGAUUCGCCAUAUCGGUACCGUCAAAAGGAGUAAUUUGCAACAGCAGGCCUACAAAUUGUUCUCCGUUUAAUUUCAACGUUUGGAAAAGUCGCACCCUGUUGAACGGUAUACCUACAUAUACAUGACAAAUUGUUAUGAACGAUGAUGACACCCGGCUGCAACCACAACUCUAUAGUAUAUGGCCAUCGUCUUGCGAAAAGAUGGCAAAUUGCGUUCUCGAAAAGUUGCCGCCGCGAUGAACAUGAAUGCCGAAGACAACGACGUGCAAAUUA